UACGUAGGCAGCGAGCGUUGUUCGGAGUUACUGGGCGUAAAGCGUGCGUAGGCGGUUGACUAAGUCUGGUGUGAAAUCUCCCGGCUCAACUGGGAGGGUGCGCCGGAAACUGGAUGACUGGAGUGCCGGAGAGGUAAGCGGAAUUCCUGGUGUAGCGGUGAAAUGCGUAGAGAUCAGGAGGAACACCUGUGGUGUAGACAGCUUACUGGACGGUGACUGACGCUGAGGCACGAAAGCGUGGGUAGCAAACAGG
rnacentral:rRNA from 1 species